rnacentral:rRNA from 1 species
UGCCCAGACUCCUACGGGAGGCAGCAGUGAGGAAUAUUGGUCAAUGGGCUUACGCCUGAACCAGCCAAGUCGCGUGGGGGAAGACUGCCCUAUGGGUUGUAAACCUCUUUUGUCAGGGAGCAACGCCGGCUACGUGUAGCCGGACUGAGAGUACCUGAAGAAAAAGCAUCGGCUAACUCCGUGCCAGCAGCCGCGGUAAUACGGAGGAUGCGAGCGUUAUCCGGAUUUAUUGGGUUUAAAGGGUGCGUAGGCGGAAUGCCAGGGCAGGGGUAAAAUCGCGGGGCUCAACCUCGCUCCGCCGUUGAAACUGGCGGCCUCGAGUGGGCGAGAAGUAUGCGGAAUGCGUGGUGUAGCGGUGAAAUGCAUAGAUAUCACGCAGAACUCCGAUUGCGAAGGCAGCAUACCGGCGCCCGACUGACGCUGAGGCACGAAAGCGUGGGUAUCGAACAGGAUUAGAUACCCUAGUA